AUACUGACCUGACAAAAGAGAUACCACGAUCAUAUGGGUGUUUUCCCAGGGCGAGGCUCAUCCAUUGCAUUCUAGAUGUGCUGACCCCUGCAGUUUCAUCAUGCAGGAGACUCAGCUGCAUGAUUUGUGGUAGUGGGGGACUACAUUCAUGCUAGCCCCUC
ensembl:snRNA U1 U1 spliceosomal RNA